UUGAGGAAUACCUCCUCUUUUCUUUAUUUGUAUUUGCCUAAGAUAAAGUUGUGGACUUACUUAUCUUUGCUUCAGACAAAGAUAAGGAUUGACACCUUCCCCCAUCUUGGGACCAAGGAUGGAAUGUAAACAAGAAGGCUGCGGGAUAAAAUUUAUGAAGGGCUAAUUGCGAUUAGGUGGGCGCCUAUCCCCUCGUCUGUCCCCUUCCCCUUUGUAUUUGCAUUAACGGAAGAAUGUAGGCUGACCUUCGAACACCUGACUAUCCCUUGAUCAAGAUUAGGGUUUCUGGAAUGUAGAGUUGUACAUUCCUGUAGGUUUUUUGUCUAAGUAGUCUUUGCCUAUAAAAGUUCUGUGUGAAGCAAAUAAAAUUGGCACUAUUUCUCUCUUUUCA